GGCCGGUUGGCCUAAUGGCAAGGCGUUGCUUUCCGGUUUUUCUAAGCUACACUGGCAAAGAUUGUGGGUUCGAGUCCCACACUGGUCG